rnacentral:rRNA from 1 species
UACGUAGGGUGCGAGCGUUAAUCGGAAUUACUGGGCGUAAAGGGUGCGCAGGCGGUUAUAUAAGACAGAUGUGAAAUCCCCGGGCUCAACCUGGGAACUGCGUUUGUGACUGUAUGACUAGAGUACGGUAGAGAGGGGUGGAAUUCCUGGUGUAGCAGUGAAAUGCGUAGAUAUCUGGAGGAACACCGGUGGCGAAGGCGGCAUCCUGGACCGAUACUGACGCUGAGGAGCGAAAGCCAGGGGAGCAAAGCGG